UCAGGCCUAACACAUGCAAGUCGAACGGCAGCACGGACUUCGGUCUGGUGGCGAGUGGCGAACGGGUGAGUAAUGUAUCGGAACGUGCCUAGUAGCGGGGGAUAACUACUCGAAAGAGUAGCUAAUACCGCAUACGCCCUACGGGGGAAAGGGGGGGAUCGCAAGACCUCUCACUAUUAGAGCGGCCGAUAUCGGAUUAGCUAGUUGGUGAGGUAAAGGCUCACCAAGGCGACGAUCCGUAGCUGGUUUGAGAGGACGACCAGCCACACUGGGACUGAGACACGGCCCAGACUCCUACGGGAGGCAGCAGUGGGGAAUUUUGGACAAUGGGGGCAACCCUGAUCCAGCCAUUCCGCGUGUGCGAUGAAGGCCUUCGGGUUGUAAAGCACGGUGGCAGGAAAGAAAUCGCACGGGUUAAUAACCCGUG
rnacentral:rRNA from 1 species